rnacentral:rRNA from 1 species
CCUACGGGUGGCAGCAGUAGGGAAUAUUGCUCAAUGGGGGAAACCCUGAAGCAGCAACGCCGCGUGGAGGAUGAAGGUUUUCGGAUUGUAAACUCCUUUUGUUAGAGAAGAUAAUGACGGUAUCUAACGAAUAAGCACCGGCUAACUCCGUGCCAGCAGCCGCGGUAAUACGGAGGGUGCAAGCGUUACGAGGAAUCAAUGGGCGUAAAGGGCGCGUAGGCGGGAUAGCAAGUCAGAUGUGAAAUCCUAUGGCUUAACCAUAGAACUGCAUUUGAAAAUGUUAUUCUAGAGUAUGGGAGAGGUAGGUGGAAUUCUUGGUGUAGGGGUAAAAUCCGUAGAGAUCAAGAGGAAUACUCAUUGCGAAGGCGACCUGCUAGAACAUAACUGACGCUGAUGCGCGAAAGCGUGGGGAGCAAACAGGAUUAGAUACCCGUGUAGUC